rnacentral:rRNA from 1 species
UGGGGAAUAUUGCACAAUGGGCGAAAGCCUGAUGCAGCGACGCCGCGUGAGGGAUGACGGCCUUCGGGUUGUAAACCUCUUUCAGCAGGGACGAAGCGCAAGUGACGGUACCUGCAGAAGAAGCACCGGCUAACUACGUGCCAGCAGCCGCGGUAAUACGUAGGGUGCAAGCGUUGUCCGGAAUUACUGGGCGUAAAGAGUUCGUAGGCGGUUUGUCACGUCGUUUGUGAAAACCAGCAGCUCAACUGCUGGCUUGCAGGCGAUACGGGCAGACUUGAGUACUGCAGGGGAGACUGGAAUUCCUGGUGUAGCGGUGAAAUGCGCAGAUAUCAGGAGGAACACCGGUGGCGAAGGCGGGUCUCUGGGCAGUAACUGACGCUGAGGAACGAAAGCGUGGGUAGCGAACAGG